UGUUUCGGCUAGGGGGCCAUCCCGGCUUACCAACCCGAUGCAAACUGCGAAUACCGGAGAAUGUUAUCACGGGAGACACACGGCGGGUGCUAACGUCCGUCGUGAAGAGGGAAACAACCCAGACCGCCAGCUAAGGUCCCAAAGUCAUGGUUAAGUGGGAAACGAUGUGGGAAGGCCCAGACAGCCAGGAUGUUGGCUUAGAAGCAGCCAUCAUUUAAAGAAAGCGUAAUAGCUCACUGGUCGAGUCGGCCUGCGCGGAAGAUGUAACGGGGCUAAACCAUGCACCGAAGCUGCGGCAGCGAACGUAUCACCCAAGACAACUUUACGGAGUUGACGAUUGACGGAGCGAAGCGACGUCAAAGCGUUCAUUAAAGUCGAGUUGGCUUAGGGAUACGUU
rnacentral:rRNA from 2 species